AGUACAAUUGCUGGAUCAUAUGGUAAGAAUAUGUUUAGUUUUGUAGAAAAUUGCCAAACAGUAUUUCAAAGCGGCUGUACCAUUUUGCAUUCCCACCAGCAAU
rnacentral:pre_miRNA from 1 species